CUUGUACUCCCUCCGUCCGAAAAUACUUGUCAUUGAAAUGGAUGUAUCUAGAUGUAUUUUAGUUCUAGACACAUCCAUUUUGAUGACAAGUAAUUCCGGACGGAGGGACUACUUG
rfam:Triticum aestivum genome assembly, contig: Triticum_aestivum_CS42_TGACv1_scaffold_452194_5DL